CGCUGGCGGCACGCCUAACACAUGCAAGUCGAACGCAGUAGCAAUACUGAGUGGCAAACGGGUGAGUAUAAUGUGGGAAUCUGCCUUUUGGUUUGGAAUAACACGGGGAAACUUGUGCUAAUACCGAAUAAGCCCUUACGGGGAAAGUUUUAAUGCCGAAAGAUGAGCCCGCACUUGAUUAGCUAGUUGGUAAGGUAAAAGCUUACCAAGGCAACGAUCAAUAGCUGUUCUUAGAGGAAGACCAGCCACAUUGGGACUGAGACACGGCCCAGACUCCUACGGGAGGCAGCAGUGGGGAAUCUUGCACAAUGGGGGAAACCCUGAUGCAGCGAUGCCGCGUGAGUGAAGAAGGCCCUUGGGUUGUAAAACUCUUUCGUCGGGGAAGAAAAUGACUGUACCCGAAUAAGAAGGUCCGGCUAACUUCGUGCCAGCAGCCGCGGUAAUACGAAGGGACCUAGCGUAGUUCGGAAUUACUGGGCUUAAAGAGCUCGUAGGUGGUUAAAAAAGUUGAUGGUGAAAUCCCAAGGCUCAACCUUGGAACUGCCAUCAAAACUUUUUAGCUAGAGUGUGAUAGAGGUAAGUGGAAUUUCUAGUGUAGAGGUGAAAUUCGUAGAUAUUAGAAAGAACACCAAAAGCGAAGGCAACUUACUGGGUCACUACUGACACUGAGGAGCGAAAGCAUGGGUAGCGAAGAGGAUUAGAUACCCUCGUAGUCCAUGCCGUAAACGAUGUGUGCUAGACGUUGGAAAUAUAUUUUUCAGUGUCGCAGCGAAAGCAUUAAGCACACCGCCUGGGGAG
rnacentral:rRNA from 1 species